AGUAAAAUCAGAUCAGAGAAGCUGCCUGUGGCUGGGCUCAGUGUAAAUAAAAGAAGGAAUGUGCUGUAUGCCAUUAAUUCCCAGUGAGGAAUCUGAACUAAGGCUGGACAAGGAUGGCUCCAGUGCAAACACUGCUGGGACAUGCUGUGGGUGACAUCCCUACUGUGCUUCACAGAAUUAUGGGAAAGGAAGGAAAGAUGUGCAGCAGAAGUAAUCAUCAGAUUUCCUAUCUACCACACCUGGAGUACGAUCACCUCAUUGACAAUCAAAUGUCCACUAAGGAGCAGAUUAAAACAGUCUGUCUCAUCUUCAAAAACAAGCAAGGACACUUGUGGAAACAAAACAAAGCAGCUGUAUGCAGGAAAAACAAAAACAGAGCACGUCAUUAAAUUGUGGAAUUCGUUGCCACAGGAUGUUGAGGAGGCCAAAAGUGUAAGUGUGUUCAAAAUGGAAUUAGAUACAUUCCUGAGGGCUGGCUCUGUUGGCAACUGUGAAAAGUCAUGGCCCAGACACAACUUUUGGUUGAGGAAAUCCCUCAAUUGUUAAUCCCCUGGUAAUGGAAGUCCACUGAAUUGUUAAUUGCU